ACUAGUGAUUGGAGAGGGGGCCUGAGAAACGGCUACCACAUCCAAGGAAGGCAGCAGGCACGCAAAUUACCCACUCCCGGCACGGGGAGGUAGUGACGAAAAAUAACGAGGCGGUUCUCUACGAGGCCCGCCAUCGGAAUGGGUACAAUUUAAAUCCUUUAACGAGGAUCUAUUGGAGGGCAAGUCUGGUGCCAGCAGCCGCGGUAAUUCCAGCUCCAAUAGCGUAUAUUAAAGUUGUUGCGGUUAAAAAGCUCGUAGUUGGAUCUGCGGUCAAGGGAAGUGGUCCUCCGACGGAUGGUUACUGCUUUUCCUGACCUAACUACUUCGGUUUUCCCUUGAUGCUCUUAACCGGGUGUCUUGGGCGACCGAAACGUUUACUUUGAAAAAAUUAGAGUGCUCAAAGCAGGCGUUCAGCCUGAAUAGUGGUGCAUGGAAUAAUAAAAGAGGAUCUCGGUUCUAUUUUGUUGGUAUUGGAUUGAGAUAAUGAUCGACGGGGAUAGACGGGGGCAUUCGUAUUGCGACGUUAGAGGUGAAAUUCUUGGAUCGUCGCCAGACGAACAACUGCGAAGGCAUUUGCCAAGAAUAUGCUCUUCAAUCAAGAACGAAAGCGUGAGGCGCGAACGCGAUCAGAUACCGCGGUAGUUCUCGCCGUAAACGAUGCCAACUAGCGAUCCGCCGGAGUUAAAUGAUGACUCGGCGGGCAGCUUCCGGGAAACCAAGGUUUUUGGGUUCCGGGGGAAGUAUGGUUGCAAAGCUGAAACUUAAAGGAAUUGACGGAAGGGCACCACCAGGAGUGGAGCCUGCGGCUUAAUUUGACUCAACACGGGGAAACUCACCCGGCCCGGACACCGUAAGGAUUGACAGAUUGAGAGCUCUUUCUUGAUUCGGUGGGUGGUGGUGCAUGGCCGUUCUUAGUUGGUGGAGCGAUUUGUCUGGUUAAUUCCGAUAACGAACGAGACUCUAGCCUGCUAAAUAGACAGUGAAUCGUUAGUUCACUGUACUUCUUAGAGGGACAAGCGGCAUCUAGCUGCACGAGAUUGAGCAAUAACAGGU
rnacentral:rRNA from 1 species